GCCGGGGGCAGCGCAAGAAAAUAGAGUGAAAAAAAAAAAAAAAAAAGGCUUCCAUUAGAUCCUGCGCACCCUAACUCUCUCUCCCCGGCUCCAUCCUCUCUCCAUCCCUCUGCGCCUCUGCUCCUUUUCCCAAUUUCCCUUCUCUGCUCUGCCUCUCCCAGCUCUCCUCCUCUCUCUAUUUCCGCCCUCAGUCACCCAUCUCCCUUAACCUUCCUCUGCACGGCCGCUGCAACACCAGACAGUGGCCACGACCUCUUCUGCAUCGCCACGACGGCCGCUGCAACACCAGACAGCGGCCACGACCUCCUCUGCAUUGCCACGACGGCCGCUGCAACACCGCCAACAGCAGCCUCCAGCCCUUGCGGCCACAACCACUACUCCACGGCAGUCCAGCAACCCAAGCCGUCGCGGUUCCAUAGCUACCACCGGCAGCCACCUGCUGCAGAACCACUCUCUGCUCCGACCCAGACACAACGGCGGCCUCUAUCCCCUGUUUCUCCCAGCGAAGACUUUCCCCGGCUCCACCGCUGCUACACCGACACCCAACUCCGCCGGUACCCCCCCUCUGUAAGUCCCUCCGUAUGAACCAUCCACACGUGAACACACACUUGCACACAUGCGUUUAUCAAUUGGAUUUUUUUUUUCAUGCUCUGUUCUGACAUGUAAAGUUUGAGUUUUUUUGUUUUUCUCCAGCUCACUGUGUAUAUCAAAUAGGGAUUUUAUUGUAUAAAUUUGUCUUGAAGUUUAAAUUUUUCUUUUGUUUUUAGACAUGUAAUACUGUUCGGGGUAUUUUUAUUAGUAUUUAAGUUCAUAUUUUUACAUAGGGUUUUAUGAUGAGGAAUAUUUUGUGGUUAUCAUAGGAAGUUUUAUUAGAGUAUAUUGUGUUCUCUUUUUA